ACAGGGAACUAGAUAUCCUAUUCAUUAGGCCGCACCAGAUGGACAGAAUAGUUUAAUCUUCAUCCAGUUGUAAUUCCUCUAUCAGGAGAGUCCUUUGAUUGUGGUCUUGUGCAGUGAUGACCGCAGGACUAAUUUGCUAUGCGUUGCCUUGACACCUGGUAUGAAUCUGAACCCAGAUGAUUCAGCUGAGCUUGAAGUGGCAGCUGUAAGCGUCGAAGACGGUUCUGCUUAGUUGGAGGAAGGAAAGAGAGGAAGGCUCCACACCACUCUCUCACUUGAGUAUCUUAACCUAUGGCACGUUCUGAUCUUAGUUCCUUUGUUUUGUCUUUUGUUUUAGUAUGGUCAGGGCGUGAGUUGGGUGGGUUGUCUAUGUUAGUUUGUCUAUGA